UGUCCCAGUUUCUGUUCGUCAUUCCGCAGGGUCCGUGUGAGAGAUCAUCCUGCACAUAUUCUUCACUCUAUUCUUCAAGGUUGACUCUGCAACAUUGAAGCCUUCUACGAUGUUCAAGUACACCUUCUUCUGUCUGUUCGUCUGCCUAAUUGUCCUGGUUGGCGCACAGGAAGGAGGAAAUGGUGGACUCACACAGAACAAAGUGGGACCUAAGGGUGGAUUAGACGAAAUACUACAAGCGGAACUUAAACGACUACAGAAAAUAAGAGACGACGAAUUUUCCAAGGCUCUGGAGGAUGCCUUAGGACGUUAAGGAAGGAAGGUCAUGGCACAAUGAACAACGAAAUGAAAGUGUGUAUUCAAGAAUAGACGUUCGACGACGCCUUCAAUACCAUGGAGAAUUGUACUUCGUUUACCGUGGAAGCGUUGUAAUCGCCGAGGCAAUCCGCCUCAAUCGUCCAGUUAAAAUAAAUACGACGUGAGUGC